rnacentral:rRNA from 1 species
UAGGGAAUCUUCCGCAAUGGGCGAAAGCUUGACGGAGCAACGCCGCGUGAGUGAUGAAGGUCUUCGGAUCGUAAAACUCUGUUAUUAGGGAAGAACAAAUGUGUAAGUAACUAUGCACGUCUUGACGGUACCUAAUCAGAAAGCCACAGCUAACUACGUGCCAGCAGCCGCGGUAAUACGUAGGUGGCAAGCGUUAUCCGGAAUUAUUGGGCGUAAAGCGCGCGUAGGCGGUUUUUUAAGUCUGAUGUGAAAGCCCACGGCUCAACCGUGGAGGGUCAUUGGAAACUGGAAAACUUGAGUGCAGAAGAGGAAAGUGGAAUUCCAUGUGUAGCGGUGAAAUGCGCAGAGAUAUGGAGGAACACCAGUGGCGAAGGCGACUUUCUGGUCUGUAACUGACGCUGAUGUGCGAAAGCGUGGGGAUCAAACAGG